UACGUAGGGGGCUAGCGUUGUCCGGAAUCAUUGGGCGUAAAGCGCGCGUAGGCGGCCCAGUAAGUCCGUUGUAAAAGUCAAAGGCUCAACCUUUGAAAGCCGAUGGAUACUGCUGGGCUAGAGUCCGGAAGAGGCGAGUGGAAUUCCUGGUGUAGCGGUGAAAUGCGUAGAGAUCGGCAGGAACACCCAGGGGGAAACCAGCCGACUGGGCAUCUGCUGACGCUGAGGUGCGAGAGCGUGGGGAGCGAACCGG
rnacentral:rRNA from 1 species